rnacentral:rRNA from 1 species
ACACAGCAGGUGAACAAAUGGUGCUGAAACGGGCGUCAGAAAUUUAAUACAGCUUAAACACAAUGAUUGUUUGUGCACGACUAAUUCGAGGUUGUUGGCGUGUGCAAGCUUAAACUGGAAAUGUUGUGUUUGUUGUAUGCACUUUUCUGUCGUUUUAACCAUAACCAAUAGUCGUUUAGUGUGUUGUCAAACGAAAGGUAGUGUGACGUCUUCACGGGCGUUGCAUGUUAUAGUCGAUUGGCAUGCAUUUGAGCGAUUAUUGUAGACUGAGCAGUGCAAUCGCGAGGGCUUGUAUAAUGAACAUUGUCGGUGUACGACUGCAUUUAUGCAGUUUGCAUUGUUCAACUGUUUAUUUAUGCAAGUUUUUGUGUGUACUGUCUGAGUUAAUGGUUUCAAAGUAAGUCAACCAUUUGACCCGUCUUGAAACACGGACCAAGAAGCGCAGCAUAUACGCAAGUCAACGGGUAUUACGAAGCCCUACGGCGAAAUGCAAGUAAAUGGUCAGUUUGUUUCGGCAAAUUGGCUAUAAGUGGUGAUCCCGGAAGCCCUUCGGGGCCGAAGGUCGCAACCACGGCCCGCUCUAAAUUCCUCGGAAUAGGGCGGAGCUGGAGCGUAUAUGCUGCAACCCGAAAGAUGGUGACCUAUACUUGCGCAGGCUGAAGCUAGAGGAAACUCUGGUGGAAGGCCGUAGCGGUUCUGACGUGCAAAUCGAUCGUCGGAUGUGAGUAUAGGGGCGAAAGACUAAUCGAACCAUCUAGUAGCUGGUUCCUCCCGAAGUUUCCCUCAGGAUAGCUGAAGCUCAAUCUGACCAGUCGUAUCUUGUAAAGCGAAUGAUUGGAGAUUCAGGGAACUAAUAGUUCUCGAUCUACUCUCACACUUUUAAUGGGUACGAUGCUGGGCAUUAUUAAAUUAUGCACCGGCUAGGAUGCGAGCUUCUAGUGGGCCAUUUUUGGUAAGCAGAACUGGCGCUGUGGGAUGAACCAAACAUUCGGUUAAAGUGCCUAACACAACGCGCAUGGGAAACCACAAAAGGUGUUGGUGGAUAUUGACAGCAGGACGGUGGCCAUGGAAGUUGGAAUCCGCUAAGGAGUGUGUAACAACUCACCUGCCGAAUUAACCAGCCCUGAAAAUGGAUGGCGCUUUAGCGUUGGACUUAAACCGAAUCGGUAUUGCAAAGCCGGUAAUCUGGGCGUGCUGGCAAUUAUGCAAUACUGAGUAGGGAGGUCAACGUGGUUGCUGCGAAGGAUAGAUUGUAAAAUCUGCUGGAGCGGCCACGUGAGCAGAUCUUGGU